CCCUCUCCUCCACCGACAACCUCGCUCACGGGCGCUGCCCUGUAACUUAACGGGAUCGGGAAAGGGAAGCCAGCUCCUGCCCUGCCCCGGCCGCCUGCAAUUGGUCGAGAAAUAAAAGAGGUUCUUUUGAGGACCCUGACCUGGAGUUACACGCUGACUUCGAUUCUUUGUGGGAAUGAGACCCACUCUCCGGGCCUCACGACCGGCCGCUUUUUGAUAUUCCAAGCACACGGCCUGGAAGACUAGCGUGGCUUCAGGGUUCGGGAUUUUUAUGGCUCUGGAGAUGUGCUGAUUCUAGGCCGGUGCCCCUGACUGAAGCGUCGCGGGAGAACAUAGAACAUUGGGAGCAGUGGGUUGUGUGGUCGGAGAGCUGCACCAAUCUGGGGCCGACUCUCUGGGCGCAGAGCUCGAAAAAAGCGACACAACAGACUUUUAACAGUGUAAAUCAAGCCACCAAGUCACGGGGAGAUACAGCACAGAACCAGGCCUGUGAUGGUGUACCCAAUCUAGAGCCCAAAAUGCAAGGCAGGACUUUAAGUCCUAUGGUUGUAGAUGUCAUGUUCUUUUGAAGACCCUGACCUGGAGUUACAUGCUGACUUUGGUUCUUUGCGGAAAUGGGACCCGCUCUCAGGGUUUCGCGACUGGUCGUUAUUCGGCAUGCCAAGAGCGUGGACUAAGAGCUUCGCUCACCUUCGGAGAUCCAAGAUUUCGUGGCUCUGGAGAUGGGGGUGGGGGUGGGGGGGAAUCAGAGGUCAAUGUCCGGCCAGGAGAUCGGUGUGUCGUAGCAGUUCUUGUUAAGGUAAGGGCUAUUGUUGGGUCAUUGGUAAGGUAGAGACAUUUAUCAUUCAUCAGGAUGCAGGAUUGAUAGUUAGGAAAUAUUUAUCCUACUGAUCAGACCAUGACAUGUAGUAACCUUGAUGACCACAUCAGACUUAUCAAGUAUCACACAUGUGGAGGCUUGACUGGUCCUGAUAUCACCAGAAACGUCAGACUGAAAUCUCUGAAGAGCACCAGAGGGUUGAAUUAAUUGUGCCCUUCCAAAGAUCAACUGAAGUCAAAUAACGACAAUGUAUCUAUUUAAUAUGUGAUUACGUUAAUUUAUUAUCUGGUGAGUUAAGGAACAUUCCAGGAUUGUACAUGCUGUUUUUUUGAUUUGCCUCUCCUGUUUGAAUUAAAUCAUUGAUUGUACCAGCUCUUACUACAUCUCGGUGCAUCCCCCGUGUUCCUAUACUGUUGGCUAAUGUUCUGGCUACCUUCCCAGUACAUUACUCAUCUGCUUCUACAAACAGUUAUCUUAUAACACCAAGUCCUGACCUCAGUUUGCCUCUGGCUUGUAAAAUCCAGUGCACAAUAGCUUUGCGUGCAUUUGCAAGUGAUAGAGUUAUACAGUUGGCUCACUGUGUCUAUCCAGGAUAUUAUGCCUACUAAAGCUAAUCCCACAAUCGUGCAUUAAUCCCAAAUCCCUUUGUGACAUGCUCAUUCAAGCACCUGUCCAAAUCCUUCUUAAAUGUUCUGACUAUUCCUGCCUCACCAGCAGCUCCUCUGACAGCUCAUUCCAGGGGCCUAUUAUUUUUUGUGUGAUGAGCUAAUGCCUCAGAACCCCAUUUAAACUUCCUCCCUCUCACCUGAAACUGAUGCCGACUAAUUUUAGACACAUGCACCACUGAAAACAGGCUCUGGUUAUCUACCUUAUACAUGCCUUUUUAUAACAUUUGUAAUGUCACCUCUCUGCCCCCUGUGCUCCAGCCUAUCCAAUCUCCCCUGAUAAUCCAAAACCUACAAUCCAAUAUCCAAUCUCUCCAGAUAACUCAAAUCCUACGAUGCAGUAUCCAAUCUCCCCUGAUAAUUCAAACUCUACAAUCCGAUAUGCCCCAGAUAAUCCAAACUCUACUAUCCAAUAUCCAAUCUGUCCAGAUAACUCAAACCCUAUGGUGCAGUAUCCAAUCUCUCCAGAUAAUCCAAACUCUACUAUCCAAUAUCCAAUCUGUCCAGAUAACUCAAACCCUAUGGUGCAGUAUCCAAUCUCUCCAGAUAAUCCAAACUCUACUAUCCAGUAUCCAAUCUGUCCAGAUAAUCCAAACCCUACAAUCCAAUAUCCCCCAGAUAAUCCACUCUAUUAUCCAAUAUCCCCCAGAUAAUCCAAACUCUAUUAUCCAAUAUCCCCCAGAUAAUUCAAACUCUAUUAUCCAAUAUCCCCCAGAUAAUCCAAACUCUAUUAUCCAAUAUCCAAUCUGUCCAGAUAACUCAAACCCUUCAAUCCAAUAUCCAAUCUCUCCAGAUAACUCAAAUCCUACGAUGCAGUAUCCAAUCUCCCCUGAUAAUUCAAACUCUACAAUCCGAUAUGCCCCAGAUAAUCCAAACUCUACUAUCCAAUAUCCAAUCUGUCCAGAUAACUCAAACCCUAUGGUGCAGUAUCCAAUCUCUCCAGAUAAUCCAAACUCUACUAUCCAGUAUCCAAUCUGUCCAGAUAAUCCAAACCCUACAAUCCAAUAUCCCCCAGAUAAUCCACGCUAUUAUCCAAUAUCCCCCAGAUAAUCCAAACUCUAUUAUCCAAUAUCCAAUCUGUCCAGAUAACUCAAACCCUACAAUGCAGUAUCCAAUCUCUCCAGAUAAUCCAAACUCUACCAACCAGUAUCCAAUCUGUCCAAAUAAUCCAAACACUACAAUCCAAUAUCCCCCAGAUAAUCCAAACUCUACUAUCCAGUAUCUCCCAGAUAAUCCAAACCCUACAAUCCAAUAUCCCCCAGAUAAUCCAAAAUCUACUAUCCAAUGUCCAAUCUGUCCAGAAAACUCAAACCCUACUAUCCAAUAUCCAAUCUCCCCUGAUAACUCAUGCUCUACAAUCCAGUCUCCAAUCUCCCCUGAUAAUCCAAACCCUACAACGCAAUAUCUAAUCUCUCCUGAUAACUCAAACUCUACAAUCCAGUAUCCAAUCUCUCCUGACAGCUCAAAUUCUACAAUCCAGUAUCCAGUCUCUCCUUAUAACUCCAGCUCUACAAACCAGUUACAAACCAGGUAUUAAGGAAUGGUUUCUAAUGUCGUUAGCCAUGUUCUCUGAAUCACAAGGCAAGGUUAAAAUAAAUGAGGGUGAGUUAGAUCCUUAUGGAGUAAUAUCAUAGCCAGUCCUUCAGCUGAGAAGGUGUGAGGCAGAAGGAAAUUAGAAUGGUGAAGAG